GAGGAAAGAGGGAGGCGUGCCUAAUACAUGCAAGUCGAGCGAACAGACGAGGAGCUUGCUCCUCUGACGUUAGCGGCGGACGGGUGAGUAACACGUGGAUAACCUACCUAUAAGACUGGGAUAACUUCGGGAAACCGGAGCUAAUACCGGAUAAUAUAUUGAACCGCAUGGUUCAAUAGUGAAAGACGGUUUUGCUGUCACUUAUAGAUGGAUCCGCGCCGCAUUAGCUAGUUGGUAAGGUAACGGCUUACCAAGGCAACGAUGCGUAGCCGACCUGAGAGGGUGAUCGGCCACACUGGAACUGAGACACGGUCCAGACUCCUACGGGAGGCAGCAGUAGGGAAUCUUCCGCAAUGGGCGAAAGCUUGACGGAGCAACGCCGCGUGAGUGAUGAAGGUCUUCGGAUCGUAAAACUCUGUUAUUAGGGAAGAACAAAUGUGUAAGUAACUAUGCACGUCUUGACGGUACCUAAUCAGAAAGCCACGGCUAACUACGUG
rnacentral:rRNA from 1 species